rnacentral:rRNA from 1 species
GACGAACGCUGGCGGCGUGCCUAAUACAUGCAAGUCGAACGCAUUUUCUUUCACCGUAGCUUGCUACACCGAGAGAAAAUGAGUGGCGAACGGGUGAGUAACACGUGGGUAACCUGCCCAUCAGCGGGGGAUAACACUUGGAAACAGGUGCUAAUACCGCAUAAUUCCAUUUACUGCAUGGUAGAUGGAUGAAAGGGGCUUUUGCGUCACUGAUGGAAGGAGCCGCGGUGCAUUAGCUAGUUGGUGGGGUAACGGCCUACCAAGGCUGCGAUGCAUAGCCGACCUGGGAGGGUGAUCGGCCCCACUGGGACUGGGACACGGGCCCGACCCCUACGGGAGGGAGCAGUAGGGAAUCUUCGGCAAUGGACGCAAGUCUGACCGCGCAACGCCGCGUGAGUGAAGAAGGUUCUCGGAUCGUAAAACUCUGUUGUUAGAGAAGGACAAGGAUGAGAGUGGAAAGUUCAUCCCUUGACGGUAUCUAACCAGAAAGCCACGGCUAACUACGUG